rnacentral:rRNA from 1 species
UAGUGAGUGGCGAACGGGUGAGUAACACGUGAGUAACCUGCCCUCUUCUUUGGGAUAACGCCCGGAAACGGGUGCUAAUACUGGAUAUUCACUGGCCUUCGCAUGGGGGUUGGUGGAAAGGUUUGUUCUGGUGGGGGAUGGGCUCGCGGCCUAUCAGCUUGUUGGUGGGGUGAUGGCCUACCAAGGCUUUGACGGGUAGCCGGCCUGAGAGGGUGACCGGUCACAUUGGGACUGAGAUACGGCCCAG